AACAGCAAUUCGAACGAGAAGAAGCAGAGUUGGGAGAAAGAGAAAAGAUGGUAAAAUCGCGAAAAGUUUGUGGGAUUUAAAGGAAUACACAAAAUAGGGAUGUCAGGGACCGGUAUGUGCACAAAAUCAGCAACAUUAACGGUUUGGAUCCAUAUGAAAUUCCCAACAAAUAGUGGAGUACCGACGGUGACUUGUUGCCGCACAUUUGCAUUACAGAUAUCUUCGGCUACCUUGUUUGUUUUGUGAGCGCCUACACUUCAGAACAGUUCCGAAGCUACAAGUCAUUGGAGUCUCAUGUGCAGUUCACAAAUGGAUAUGUUCAUGAGUUGCAGAUCAUAAAACCGGCAAACAGUAUACGUUACAGUAAUCUGGACAAAGACAGGAAUGAUGAAUGUGCACAGACCAAUGGCCAAGUGAAAGAGCUCUGUCUGGAGGUCUGGGGUUUCAUGAGACAGCAGCUACCAAUCUCUACUCGUCACCUUUCACUCCCUCUCAAGGAUUUGACAGAGUUAGAGAAACCAGAGCGGAUCGUUCAACUAAAGAUGCCAGACGUGUGAUGGACAUUUAAGAGUUAUUUAUAUUUAU